rnacentral:lncRNA from 1 species
UCGCGAAGAAUUGUGAUUUUUUUGGACAACAAAUUAUGAUUGUUUUGAUGAAUAACUUUUCAUAUAAAUGAGGCAUAUAUACACACACAAGUUACCACACUUCGAAUGGUUUUAAACAUUGCUAUAUGAUGUAGCAUGUAUGUCGGGGAGUGAGCAAAAUACACAUCUUCCGACCAAUAACGAAUGACAGGUGAGACAUAAUAACGUUAACCAACCUAUCCGACCCAGACAACAUAUGAUAAAAUCUCAAAGCUCCAAA